AUACGGAGGGUGCAAGCGUUAAUCGGAAUUACUGGGCGUAAAGCGCGCGUAGGCGGUUUAGUAAGUCGGAUGUGAAAGCCCUGGGCUCAACCUGGGAAUGGCAUUCGAUACUGCUUGACUAGAGUAUGGUAGAGGGAAGUGGAAUUUCCGGUGUAGCGGUGAAAUGCGUAGAUAUCGGAAGGAACACCAGUGGCGAAGGCGACUUCCUGGGCCAAUACUGACGCUGAGGUGCGAAAGCGUGGGGAGCAAACAGGAUUAGAAACCCCGGUAGUCC
rnacentral:rRNA from 1 species